UCGGGUGUGGUGUACGGCGCACCGCUGCUAGGCAUUCGAGACUAUCAUAUGCUGUCCAAUAUUCGCAGCUGGACGGGGUUCGAUUCCCCGCAUCCGAA